rnacentral:rRNA from 1 species
AUCCAGACUCCUACGGGAGGCAGCAGUGGGGAAUAUUGGGCAAUGGGCGCAAGCCUGACCCAGCAACGCCGCGUGAAGGAAGAAGGCUUUCGGGUUGUAAACUUCUUUUAAGAGGGAAGAGUAGAAGACGGUACCUCUUGAAUAAGCCACGGCUAACUACGUGCCAGCAGCCGCGGUAAUACGUAGGUGGCAAGCGUUGUCCGGAUUUACUGGGUGUAAAGGGCGUGUAGCCGGGUUGACAAGUCAGAUGUGAAAUCCUGCGGCUUAACCGCAGAACUGCAUUUGAAACUGUUGAUCUUGGGUACUGGAGAGGCAGACGGAAUUCCUUGUGUAGCGGUGAAAUGCGUAGAUAUAAGGAAGAACACCAGUGGCGAAGGCGGAUGACUGGACGGCAACUGACGGUGAGGCGCGAAAGCGUGGGUAUCGAACAGGAUUAGAUACCCGUGUA